GAUGAACGCUGGCGGCGUGCCUAAUACAUGCAAGUCGAGCGAACAGACGAGUAGCUUUCUCCUCUGACGUUAGCGGGGGACGGGUGAGUACCACAUGGAUAACCUACCUAGAGGACUGGGAUAGCAUCGUGAAACCGGAGCUCAUAUGGGAUAAUGUUUUAAACGGCAGGGUUCAAUACUAUAAUUCGCUUUUCCUCUUUCUUACAGACGGUUCCGCGCCGCAUUAGCUAGUUGGUAAGGUAACGGCUUACCAAGGCAACGAUGCGUAGCCGACCUGAGAGGGUGAUCAGCCACACUGGAACUGAGACACGGUCCAGACUCCUACGGGAGGCAGCAGUAGGGAAUCUUCCACAAUGGGCGAAAGCCUGACGGAGCAACGCCGCGUGAGUGAUGAAGGUCUUCGGAUCGUAAAACUCUGUUAUUAGGGAAGAAAAAAUGUGUAAGUAACUAUGCACGUCUUGACGGUACCUAAUCAGAAAGCCACGGCUAACUACGUG
rnacentral:rRNA from 1 species